rnacentral:tRNA from 1 species
GGGUGUGUAGCUCAAUGGUGGAGCAAGCGUCUUAUACACGCUAGGCUGUAGGUUCGAGUCCUACCACACCCACAA